rnacentral:tRNA from 2 species
UCUAUUAUGGCAGAUUAGUGCAUUGGAUUUAAACCCCAAUUAUAAAGAAUUUCUUUUUAUAGAA